rnacentral:rRNA from 1 species
UACGAAGGGGGCUAGCGUUGCUCGGAAUCACUGGGCGUAAAGGGUGCGUAGGCGGCCUUAUAAGUAUGGUGUGAAAUCUCCCGGCUUAACUGGGAGGGUGCGCUAUAGACUGUGGGGCUAGAGUGUGGGAGAGGAAAGUGGAAUUCCUGGUGUAGCGGUGAAAUGCGUAGAUAUCAGGAGGAACACCGGUGGUGUAAACGGCUUUCUGGACCAUAACUGACGCUGAGGCACGAAAGCGUGGGUAGCAAACAGG